UACGUAGGGGGCAAGCGUUAUUCGGAUUCACUGGGCGUAAAGGGUGCGCAGGCGGCCAAGUGUGUUAGGCGUGAAAGCCCGGGGCUUAACCCCGGAAUUGCACCUAAAACUACAUGGCUAGAGCAUUGGAGAGGGUAGCAGAAUUCAUGGUGUAGCAGUGAAAUGCGUAGAUAUCAUGAGGAAUACCAGAGGCGAAGGCGGCUACCUGGACAAUUGCUGACGCUCAGGCACGAAAGCGUGGGGAGCAAAAGGG
rnacentral:rRNA from 1 species